GGCGCGCGGUUGCCAUGGGGCGCUGGGCCCGGCCCUGGAGGGGCCUCAGCAGCAGGCCGGGCCCCCCCGACCCCCACUCGGUGCUCGGGGUUCGUCCUGGAGCCUCCCCCAGGGAAAUCCGGGCGGCGUUCCUGGAGCGCUGCAAGCAGGUACCGGGAAACCGGGAAUACCGGGGAUACCGGGGAUACCGGGAAUACCGGGAAUACCGGGAAUACCGGGAAUACCGGGAAUA